UGCAGUCGAGGGGUAACAUUGUAGCUUGCUACAGAUGACGACCGGCGCACGGGUGCGUAACGCGUAUAGAACCUACCUAUUACAGAGGGAUACCCUUUAGAAAUGAAGAAUAAUACCCCAUAAUAUUAUAAAUUGGCAUCAAUAUAUAAUUAAAGAUUUAUUGGUAAUAGAUGGCUAUGCGUCCUAUUAGUUAGAUGGAGUGGUAACGGCACCCCAUGACUUCGAUAGGUAGGGGCCCUGAGAGGGGGAUCCCCCACACUGGUACUGAGACACGGACCAGACUCCUACGGGAGGCAGCAGUGAGGAAUAUUGGACAAUGGAGGGAGCUCUGAUCCAGCCAUGCCGCGUGCAGGAUGACUGCCCUAUGGGUUGUAAACUGCUUUUAUACAGGAAGAAACAGAUUUUCGUGAAAAUCCUUGACAUUACUGUACGAAUAAGGAUCGGCUAACUCCGUGCCAGCAGCCGCGGUAAUACGGAGGAUCCAAGCGUUAUCCGGAAUCAUUGGGUUUAAAGGGUCCGUAGGUGGAUAAAUAAGUCAGAGGUGAAAUCCUGCAGCUCAACUGUAGAACUGCCUUUGAAACUGUUUAUCUUGAGUUAUUAUGAAGUAGUUAGAAUAUGUAGUGUAGCGGUG
rnacentral:rRNA from 1 species